rnacentral:rRNA from 1 species
AGUGAACGCUGGCGGUAGGCCUAACACAUGCAAGUCGAACGGCAGCACAGGAGAGCUUGCUCUCUGGGUGGCGAGUGGCGGACGGGUGAGGAAUACAUCGGAAUCUACUUUUUCGUGGGGGAUAACGUAGGGAAACUUACGCUAAUACCGCAUACGACCUACGGGUGAAAGCAGGGGACGUUCGGGCCUUGCGCGAUUGAAUGAGCCGAUGUCGGAUUAGCUAGUUGGCGGGGUAAAGGCCCACCAAGGCGACGAUCCGUAGCUGGUCUGAGAGGAUGAUCAGCCACACUGGAACUGAGACACGGUCCAGACUCCUACGGGAGGCAGUAGUGGGGAAUAUUGGACAAUGGGCGCAAGCCUGAUCCAGCCAUACCGCGUGGGUGAAGAAGGCCUUCGGGUUGUAAAGCCCUUUUGUUGGGAAAGAAAUCCAGCUGGCUAAUACCCGGUUGGGAUGACGGUACCCAAAGAAUAAGCACCGGCUAACUUCGUGCCAGCCGCCGCAGUAA